GCCUGGCUAGCUCAAUCGGUAGAGCGUGAGACUCUUAAUCUCAAGGUUGCGGGUAAGUUAAGACUGCGUCUAACAUGCAAUGCAUAUUCCGUAUAUACUAACACCUCUGCGAAGGUUCGACCCCCGCGUUGGGCU